rnacentral:rRNA from 1 species
CUCGACUCCAUGAAGUCGGAAUCGCUAGUAAUCGUAGAUCAGAAUGCUACGGUGAAUACGUUCCCGGGCCUUGUACACACCGCCCGUCACACCAUGGGAGUGGGUUGCAAAAGAAGUAGGUAGCUUAACCUUCGGGAGGGCGCUUACCACUUUGUGAUUCAUGACUGGGGUGAAGUCGUAACAAGGUAAUCGUAGGGGAACCUGCGGUUGGAUCACCUCCUUACCUAAGAGA